rnacentral:rRNA from 1 species
UACGUAGGGUGCAAGCGUUGUCCGGAAUUAUUGGGCGUAAAGAGCUCGUAGGCGGUUUGUCGCGUCUGCUGUGAAAACUCGGGGCUUAACCCCGGGCCUGCAGUGGGUACGGGCAGACUAGAGUGCGGUAGGGGAGACUGGAAUUCCUGGUGUAGCGGUGAAAUGCGCAGAUAUCAGGAGGAACACCGGUGGCGAAGGCGGGUCGCUGGGCCGUAACUGACGCUGAGGAGCGAAAGCGUGGGGAGCAAACAGG